AGGAGGAGGAGGAGUGAAGGCGAGCUGCAAGUUCAGUUCCGUGCCUGCUGCACGCGCGCGAGCGGCCGCUUGCGAAAAGUUUGCACGGUGGCCUGGCGCUGCUUUGUGCUGAAGCGCUUUGCAAACGGUGCAAGCAUGCGAGCGAGCAAAGGGGAGUCGGAGUCUCUUUUCUGCCCUUGUUCUUCAUCUUUCGCCUGAGUCUCGCGGUUUUCCCUAACGGAGACCUGGGGAUUUUCCCCAGUAAGAAAGAAGAUGCAAGAUAUGCUGGAAUAACACAGGAAGGGAAACUCAAAAUGGCUUGACCUGCUUCCCCUGGCCCAUAAAAUUUUGCAAAUGGGGCAGAUGAUGGUGGUUAUCCUAAGGAAACUUAGGACUGGGAAUAAUUUUCUUGGUUACUCUGAAUAGAUUUGUUUGUUCUUUAAUUCA